UUGUUCUUCAAGCGAUCUCCAGCGACGACACAGUGCUUUCUCGGCAAUCUUUUUCUCCUCAAUCUUAGGCGGCUACCAGUUAAGUCCAAACAUCAUCGUCUUUACAAUACAUUACACAUGUCAUCCCGUCCGUAAUACAUAGGAUUCAUCGCUAACCGCAUCUUACGUAGCACACAAGCCCGAUCAUGGAGCUCUCUAGAAAAAUGCCGUCAAAGGCGAAGAAGAUUAGGCUCUCAGACUCCCAAAACCGCGUUUGUUCUUGAAGCGAUAUCCGGCGACGGCGCAGCGCUUUCCCGACGAUCUUUUUCUCCUCGAUCUCAUGCGGCUAGCAGCACACAACCCCGAUCAUGGAGGUCUCUAGAAAAAUGUCGUCAAAUGUGGUCAUCUGGUAGGUUAGGUUGUCGACGACCGACGGUGGAGAAGGGCAUAGUGUAGAAACGUAGCACAUAUCCUCGGUGGUGAGAAAGACGUCCUCUUCCAUUGACGUUGACAGCGGGAAUAGAUUUGACAAUAUUGGAGGAAGAGGACCUGACACACGAAACUCUUCUGGCAUCUCAUACUCUGUUGUAAACUCUUUCGGCAACUCAACUUCAGACACGACAUUAGUGACCACAACGGGUUUUUCACACACCUCGCCAGGGUUCUCGGUGGUACACGUUUGGGUUUUUUGUCGAUGAAUCUGAUUGGUGUAGAUGAAACCGACUAUACUGUGUGUUUUCUGUGAAAUGUCUAAUGUGUCAUAAACAUCUGAAAGCAAUGUUUGUACCCAACAGCAUACUACGCGUGUAGACAGUAACAAUUAGGUUUAUGUGGAUUUUGUUAUGUAAGAUGAAUGUAUAUAUUUUUACUAUUAUUGAUAGGGUGACAAACUUUAUA